GCUCAGUAACACGUGGUUAAUCUGCCCUUGGGUGAGGAAUACUCCCGGGAAACUGGGGCUAAUACCUCAUAGUGGAUAUAACCUGGAAUGGUGUAUCCUCGAAAGAUUCAUCGCCCAAGGAUGAGACUGCGUCCGAUUAGGUUGUUGGUGGGGUAACGGCCCACCAAGCCUUUUAUCGGUACGGGUUGUGGGAGCAAGAUCCCGGAGAUGGAUUCUGAGACAUGAAUCCAGGCCCUACGGGGCGCAGCAGGCGCGCAAACUUUACAAUGCGAGCAAUCGUGAUAAGGAAACCCUGAGUGUCUGUCGAUGCAGGCUGUUCAUAUAUUUAAAUUGUAUGUGAAGAAAGGGCAGGGCAAGACCGGUGCCAGCCGCCGCGGUAAUACCGGCUGCUCGAGUGAUGGCCACUAUUACUGGGUUUAAAGCGUCCGUAGCUUGAUUUUUAGGUCUCUUGGGAAAUCUUUUGGCUUAACCACAAGGCGUCUAAGAGAUACCGGAAAUCUUGGAACUGGGAGAGGUAAGCCGUACUUCGGGGGUAGGAGUGAAAUCUUGUAAUCCUCGAGGGACGACCUAUGGCGAAGGCAGCUUACCAGAACAGCUUCGACAGUGAGGGACGAAAGCUGGGGGAGCAAACGGGAUUAGAUACCCCGGUAGUCCCAGCCGUAAACAAUGUGCGUUAGGUGUGUCGGUUACCACGCGUAACUGAUGCGCCGAAGAGAAAUCGUGAAACGCACCACCUGGGAAGUACGGUCGCAAGGCUGAAACUUAAAGGAAUUGGCGGGGGAGCACCACAACAGGUGGAGCCUGCGGUUUAAUUGGAUUCAACGCCGGACAUCUCACCGGAUAAGACAGCUGAAUGAUUGUCAAUCUGAAGGUUUUACAUGACUAGCUGAGAGGAGGUGCAUGGCCGUCGUCAGUUCGUACUGUGAAGCAUCCUGUUAAGUCAGGCAACGAGCGA
rnacentral:rRNA from 1 species